rnacentral:rRNA from 1 species
AUUGAACGCUGGCGGCAGGCCUAACACAUGCAAGUCGAACGGUAACAGGAAGAAGCUUGCUUCUUUGCUGACGAGUGGCGGACGGGUGAGUAAUGUCUGGGAAACUGCCUGAUGGAGGGGGAUAACUACUGGAAACGGUAGCUAAUACCGCAUAACGUCGCAAGACCAAAGAGGGGGACCUUCGGGCCUCUUGCCAUCGGAUGUGCCCAGAUGGGAUUAGCUAGUAGGUGGGGUAACGGCUCACCUAGGCGACGAUCCCUAGCUGGUCUGAGAGGAUGACCAGCCUCACUGGAACUGAGACACGGUCCAGACUCCUACGGGAGGCAGCAGUGGGGAAUAUUGCACAAUGGGCGCAAGCCUGAUGCAGCCAUGCCGCGUGUAUGAAGAAGGCCUUCGGGUUGUAAAGUACUUUCAGCGGGGAGGAAGGGAGUAAAGUUAAUACCUUUGCUCAUUGACGUUACCCGCAGAAGAAGCACCGGCUAACUCCGUG